UGGACGCAAGGGAUUUCUAGGGUACCAACUGGCUUCCGGAACUGACACUCAGGGCCGUCUCAUGGGUACGUCGUGGCUUUUUGCUUCCUUCGGGAGCUGCCAGCUCAAAGCUAUUCAGUGAUGAUGGUAUGCAUCACAGUGUGUGACGGAAACUUCUCUUGGGUGUUCAGGUGCAGGUGUGAACACCGGGAGGGCUUUUCCAGCAUCGCAGCUCACCUGGCGUCACAAGGGUCAUCAAAGAGCAAAGCCUAAGGCAGGAGUACAAAAAGCUUCCCAGCAUCCCUCAAUCGUCAACGAUGGUGCAGGUGUGAGCACAGGGAGGGCUUUUCCAGCUCCUCACGUGGGUCCCGAACCACAGCUCACCUGGCAUCGCAAGGGUCCACAAGAAACAAAGCCUAAGGUAUUAAGACGAAAGUCUUCCCAGCAUAAAUCAGUCCUCAACCAAGUCCUGGAGGAACUGGACAAAGUAGAGCAUGGUGGGUAUAUAUCGCUCUAGAGCAGAAGACUUGGGAAGUGGAGGUUUAGAUACACAUGCUCUUCAGAAGGGCGCUUUCCCUGACUAAAUUGACACCCUCAAAUGCUCUGGCUUUGUUUCUGAGUGUUAUCAAUGUAUUCUGAGAAAUAUUGCCUCCUGAAGAUAUUGGUUCUUGAAGAGGUUACUUCUCAUUAAACUGAUUCCAUUUCUUUCUAAAGACCUGAGCCAUGACACUGGGGAGACCGUGGCGUUUCAGAAAAGAGGAGACCAGGUAGUGCCGAUCUACGAUGAAGGGACUUGGACAAUGAAAUCACGAGGCAUGCCAGGUAAUUGCUGUCCUUUGGUCAUCCAGUGCCAUGAACCAAAAUCCCUGUGUCUGCAGGCUCUUCAGCAGCCAAACUCUUGCCCUGAGUGCCCCCCCAGCACAAGGGAGGGGUCCCUCCUGUGCACUGAGGUCCAAAGGGAUGCACUGAGAGA